rnacentral:rRNA from 1 species
GAUGAACGCUGGCGGCGUGCCUAAUACAUGCAAGUCGAGCGAACGGACGAGAAGCUUGCUUCUCUGAUGUUAGCGGCGGAUGGGUGAGUAACACGUGGAUAACCUACCUAUAAGACUGGGAUAACUUCGGGAAACCGUAGCUAAUACCGGAUAAUAUUUUGAACCGCAUGGUUCAAAAGUGAAAGACGGUCUUGCUGUCACUUAUAGAUGGAUCCGCGCUGCAUUAGCUAGUUGGUAAGGUAACGGCUUACCAAGGCAACUAUGCAUAGCCGACCUGAGAGGGUGAUCGGCCACACUGGAACUGAGACACGGUCCAGACUCCUACGGGAGGCAGCAGUAGGGAAUCUUCCGCAAUGGGCGAAAGCCUGACGGAGCAACGCCGCGUGAGUGAUGAAGGUCUUCGGAUCGUAAAACUCUGUUAUUAGGGAAGAACAUAUGUGUAAGUAACUGUGCACAUCUUGACGGUACCUAAUCAGAAAGCCACGGCUAACUACGUG